rnacentral:rRNA from 1 species
UUUUACAAUGGAGAGUUUGAUCCUGGCUCAGGACGAACGCUGGCGGCGUGCCUAACACAUGCAAGUCUGGGAGAAUUGGGUAGCAAUAUCCAUUGUAAACCGGCGCACGGGUGAGUAAUAUAUAGGUAAUAUGCCUUUUGGUUUGGAAUAACCCCGCGAAAGCGGGGCUAAUACCGAAUGAUGCAACGGCUCCGCAUGGAGAAGUUGUUAAAGCUUCGGCGCCAAGAGAUUAACCUGUAUCCCAUUAGAUAGUUGGCGAGGUAACGGCUCACCAAGUCUGCGAUGGGUAGCUGAUCUGAGAGGAUGAUCAGCCACACUGG